rnacentral:misc_RNA from 1 species
UAAUAAGUGUUUUAUGGCAUCUUUUUAAAUCCAUAUCCACCUUGUGUGCAAUGUCAGUCGAUCUUCUUCAUGGAGAUCGACCAAACAUCAACCUUUAUCUUUUAACUCUUUGUCUGAAAAAUAUUAUGAAUAAACAAUUCAAAAUA